GCUCUGCCUGAUUUCAACUCCAAGACAUUCCUUCCAGAUAAAGCUCCUCACCUUCAAUCUCACCACCACGUAACUAUGAUAUCAUUUCUCACCCCUCUGAUUGGAGAACUGGAGGGCAGAGUACCAAACUCUCCCAGUGCCUUCCUUUAUAGACUUUGACUUAAUUCUACCUGUAUCUGCUGCUCUGCCUGGCUUUGACCCACUAAACAAGAUGUACCCUGAUUUCUCCUCUUUUCCCAUUCAGACUUGUUUGUAGGUUGUUUUCCUCCCUAUUAGAUCAUGGGUUCCUUGAAGGAAGAAACUGUCUUUUUUCCUAAUGAACCGUAACCCUUGUGCUUACUUAGCACAAUGCCUGCGAGAUAAGGAAAAAGGCUGAAAAAGGUUAAGACUAAUCACCCCAAGUUUCUUCCAACGGCUCCUAUAUGGCAUCCCCUCCAGAACCUUACUGAGGAGAUCUAGUAGAAGAGAAGAGAACACCACAGAAUGGAAUGAACAUAGGCUUUGGUUCAAAGGACCUGGGGUUAUAUCCUACUUCUAAUGCAAACGACCAUCUUAGGGACAGGCAAUUAGGUUCUUGAUCUGUUUCCCUACCUCCACCAGAAGGGUGAACCUUACAGUUUAGAAAACUCUGCAUAAUGGUUCCAGGAUUGCUGUUCUAACAAUGGCUGUUCUCUACCCAUCAGAACAAGAUACCUUGAUCAUGGCUGUCACUUAAGAUGUUAAGAUCAUCUACUCAAAGCCAAAAGAGGUCUCAGAAGCUCUCUAUUUCAACCUCCUGAUUCUAUAUGAGACAACUUGCUUCUUAUAAAAAAUAUAAGAAAAUAAAUGAAACUUUUA